AGGCCUGAACGUUAGUCGUCGUCUUCCAAAAUCCAAACCGCUCGCUCCUCACCGAAGACGCCAUUAGCCAUGAGCAGCUUGGCUUAUCCGCUCCUCCGGCUCCCGUGCCGCUGCUCUAUCGCGCCGGCGCCGGCGCCGGCGUCUCAGCUCCCCGCACCGGUGUGUCUAUCUGCUUCGGCUUCCGCAAAUGCAGGGGGCGAUCUGACGGCGCGGGAAAAGCGAGCGCAGCGUCGGGAACGGCGGGAGCUGCGUGCGACGGACUGGAAGGAGGAGGUGCAGGACCGGCUGAUCCACGAGCCAGCGCGGCGGCGGAAGAAGCCUCCUAAGCGUUCGUGGAGGGAGGAGCUCAACCUCGACCUCCUCGCCGAGCUGGGGCCGCAGUGGUGGCUCGUGCGCGUCUCCAUGGCGCCCGGCACCGACUACGUCGACCUCCUCACCAAGGCUAUCUCACGGCGCUACUCGGAAGUCCCCUUCAAGAUUUACAAUCCAUCAAUCCAAGUAAAGAGGAGAUUAAAAAGUGGUGCAAUCAGUGUUAAAUCGAAGCCUCUGCAUGCCGGGUUGGUCUUUCUGCAUUGUACCUUAAACAAGGAGCUUCAUGACUUUAUCAGAGACACAGAGGGUUGUUAUGGCUUUAUUGGAGCUACAGUUGGUUCAAUCAAGAGGCAGAUUAAAAAGCCAAAACCUAUUCCAGUUGAUGAAGUUGAAUCAAUUAUUAGAGAAGAGAAGGAGGAACAAGAGAGAGUUGACAGAGAAUUUGAAGAAAUGGAGAAUAUGGGAAACAUUGAGCCUUUCAGUAAACCCGUUGAAGAAUCUGAACUUAUGUUAAUGAAUAAGAUCAAGAAGCAGUUUAAGAAAUCGUCCUCACAGGGUGGCACUAGACACAGUGCUUUUUCGCCUGGUGCAACUGUUCAUGUUCUCUCCGGGCCUUUUGCAGACUUCACUGGUUCCAUCCUGGAAGUGAAUCGCAAAAACAAGAAGGCCACUGUACAGUUGUCACUUUUUGGGAAAGAGAGUUUUGUGGAUCUUGAUUUUGAUCAAAUUGAGGUAGUUGAAGUGGACGACGAUGAUAGUAAACUAUGAGGUCUGAAAACGCCUCGAAAUCCUCGCUUUUGAUUUUGGCAAGCAUGCUAUGAUUGUAGAGGUGAUCAGAAAAGGACAUCUAACUAUGGAAUCUUGUGUUUAUGUAUCACAGUAGCCGAUAACUUUUUAUCAACAACCCAGAUCUCCAGCUGGGCCUGAGUGAAUGAAGCAGGAACUUCAGUGGGUGGGCAGUGGACCGUUGAAGACCCAGCUAUCAGCAAGAGAAACAGUUAGCACACCUGCGCAUGAGCUACCGUCAAAAUUAACCACUGCAGGAGAGCUGUAGCCGCAGAGCAGCAAGCACAGUCGUCACCAUGAAUGCCCUUUUAUGAGAAGAGCAGAGAUGUGGUCCUUGAGAUCGAGAGUCCUGGAACGCGCAAUGCACUGCUGAACUUAACUGUCCCUCUUAACUACAAAGUCAAAUCUCAAGGUGAUGAUUACAAACGAUGUUGAUGCGAGAAUUAAAUUCAAAGUCCUCUUACACAUGGCGAUUAUUACUUUUUUUGAGAUUAACAAGGAGAAGUAAAAUGAAAUAAAAUCUACGGAGCCACUAGUACAGUAGCUAUGAGCCUUUGUCUGUUCUUCACCAACGCAGCCAGCCAGCAGCUACUCCGCAGGUCCAGCUCCAGGCUCCAGCAGGGUGCGCAUUGGCACCCACCAACAACUCUCGGAGGUGAUCCGUGGGCCGCGGCGCUAUGCAACGCUACCACGCGGUCUGUCACGCCAUGCAUGGGUCUGUCACGGUCGGCCACCACGCGGCACCAGGUAGACCCGGGCGCGCACGACGGCGCCGUUCCCCAGCCGGAACCCGGGCGCGACGGCGAACCCGACGACCAGGCCCGCGCCGCCGUGCGGUGGCGCGCCGGUCACGCUCUCCAUGUACUCCUGGUGGAACUCCGCACCGCGUCCGGCAUCGAAGUGGCUGGGCGGCGGCUCCAGCGCGAAGGCUAGCAGGUGCAGCAUCCACACGGCCUUGGCCGCGCGCAGGAACUCCCCGUAGAAGGGCGUCCGCGGGUGGGCGCCGGCGUUGACCACCCUCCGGUGCUCGGCGUCGCCCAGGACGGCCUCCUCCACGCGCGGCGGCAGGAGCGCCGCGAACUUGGCGGCGGCGUAGCGGCCGAAGGCGCAGGUCGGGAGCACGCCCAGCAGCUCCGCGGGCUCCAUCCCGCGCAUGUCCCGGAACUGCGCGUACCGCUCCCGCCGGAACGCGGCGGGGUCCAGCAGCGACGAGAGGGAGCCGUCCAGGUAGAAGGACUCGUGCUCGAAGCCGCCGAGGAGGGCGCGCGUGGCGUGCGCCUCCAGCGCGUGCUUGGCCAGCUGCGGGGAGGACACCGGGAUCUUGGUGAGCGACCGGGUGGCCGCCGCGAGCUCCAGCCCCGCCGCGCGCAUCAGGUGCGCGAGGUGCCCCGCGAAGGCCCGCGUCGCCGCGCGGGCUUGCUCGGCGCAGGUGGUGAAGAGCUCCGCCGUCGGCGCGCCGCCGUUCUGCUUGGAGGGCGGGACGUGGUGGUGGCGCCCGUUGCGGCGGCUGGUGGCCGCCGCGAGCUUCUCUUUGAGCGCGUCCACCUCGGCCUGCCUGGACUGGAGCUGGCGCUGGAGGUCGUCGAGCGCCGCCUCGUACGGCGCCACGGCCUCGCGCAGCGGCGGCGCGGACGGGUUCGGGCGCGGGAUGUGGCCCACGGCUGCGGAGCGGCGGAAGCGGUCGCGGAGGCGCGCGAGGUGGCGGAGCUCGGCGACCACGGCCGCGUCCGCAGUCCGCAUCUUGUCGGGGUCCCAGGGGCAGUGCGCGUCCUGGAGCGCGGCGUAGGCGCGGCGCACCCCGGAGACGGCGUCGAACACCUCCGCCAUCAGCGCGUCCGCGUCGCGGGCGCGCUCGGCGCCCUUGGACGCGGCGGCCAGCCUCUCCUUCUCCUGCUCCCUCUCCUCCCAGAUCUUGAGCUUCUCGUCCUCGUCCUCCUCUUCCUCGACCUCCGCAGCGGGCGGGGACCGCCGGCAUUUCUCGCUGCUGGAGACGGCGUCGGCGAAGGGGUCGUCGUCGUCGUCGUCAAAGUCACUGUCCACGGAGUCGCGGAAGGUGUGGUUGCACGGCAGGCGGUUGGAGAGGCAGGAAGAGGCGACGCGGUGGAUGAGGUCGCCGACGGUGACCGGCUUGGCCGCCAUUCCUCGGCGCUGCGACCGAGCCUUCCCGGCCGGCCAAGCAGCGGCUUGCUUUGACUGGAGGGCGUGGGACUGUGGGGGAGUGGGAGAGCGGAGCGGAAAAGAUGCCGUGCACUCACUGUGACUGUGCUGUGCGCCAGAAACGGAACGGGUGUGCGUUGGUGGGUGGGUUUAAUAGAGGCUAGCCAAAUUCAGGAGACAGAUGCCCUGUUGAACGCAGCGUCGGGUAGAACACGACAAAAGGCACUGGAGCUGGGGAAUACAUGGUACAUGCUAGAAUAACAAAAACAUGCACCAUCAAUUCUCCUCCGGAUAGAAAAGGUCUACUGAUCCUGAUAAAAUGUACAGUUUUGUCCAAAAGGAUCUUGUUUAGUUACUGGGCUAGUGGGUUUUCACGGUUCACCACCUUCGGAAUAAGAUUAAAAAACGUACAGUGAUCUGUGCUGACGUACUUAGUUUUUACCUAUAUCAUUUGCUGUCGCGGUCCGAGCCAGCUCAGAGUUUUCUCAUAACCACAUGUAGCAAGGCAAGGACGUGUUGUAGCAUUGUACGCA